AUUUAAAAUGGGGUAAUGGAUUCAUUGAUACGUCGCCCGUCUGUCUACCAAGUAAACGUAAACGAACUGAUUUGGGUGUUUUAAAUGCCAACGAAGAAGCUGAUUCUAAGGGGUUUCUCUCCAAAGAUAGCUUAAGGAAAGGUAAGUAUGACUUCAUUUCCUCACAGGAUGAAGGGAGUGUUCAGUCUGUCUUGAUCAGUGGAAUAGCCAUUCUGAGUUUUCAGGAUAGAUAAAAUUUGCACCCCGGUGUAAAUACCAAAAUACACAAUUUGCCUCACUGUGUGGCCAGUGCUAUUUACACGCGGUGCAAAUAGUUCCUCUUUUUUUUUUGGCAUGCAGAAUUUGUAAAAUAAAUGUUCAGAAUGCAAGAAUUUGACUCCUGAAUUCUAACUCUAGGUGGUUUUUUAGUGAUUGAUGGUCAAAGAGGUGUGUACUACUCUGAGAGCUGGGAACACAAUGGCAGCACUUUGUACCUGCCUGUAUGUGGCACCUUGUUAGCCAACAUAGAAAAAUAUGAUCAGAUCAGCUUUGAGCAGGGCUGCUUCUGCAUAGGUAAUUCUGCAGGUGGAUUUCAACAGAAGGUCCAAGGUACGUAAGACUGAUUUGUUAGUUUGAACCCCCAAACAUUGCACUUGAAGUUCAUGUUUGUUUCAAGUAAUUUGCCUGCUAUGCCUUUGGUGGUGGUACUUUGGCAAUUAAUUUAAAGGUGCACUUAGUAACGUUUUGCUUGUUGUCUUGGAUUUACAGUGACACCUAGUGGUGCGGAUGCAGCACCAUUCAAUAUCAAUAGUUUUCAGUUACAGAUGCCUUUUGUAGAAAUUCACAAUCAGCUGUGAUUCAUUUAAUCUUAGAGUGAAAGUGUCCAAUAACAAGAUGGUUACUGAGAUUGAGUGAGUAGUAUUUAGUUGGUCAUGUUAUUCUAAAAUGGCAGCCACCAUGAGGGCACCCCUGACUCAUGUAGAAUAAAACAGCUUUUUUAAGGUUACUGAUAUGACUAGAGUCCUCAUCUUAUGUGAGUGGUCAUGAUUGUAUUAAUACAUUUUAAAAUAACAAUUAAUAUUUUUAGGAGUAAAACUUUCUUAAUGGGGAUAAAAUAGCUAAGUACACCUUUAAUACUUACUGUGCCAAACGUUUUCUUUAUUGGCAUUAUAUUCCCCAGUGCAUGCAUAUAUUCGUAGCUGUUUAAUAUGACUGUCUCUGCUUACUCAUUCAGGUCAAGCGAUCCAUUGCUGGCGGUAUAGUGAACGCGAACGAAAGCUUUUCAUUGCGCUCUCUUACUUGUUUACAAACUUACAAGUUUUUGAGGAAGUUGUCAGCACUCUUGAUUGUCUCUGAGGAAUCAAACACAGUUGGCCAGUGCCAUUUCAGCUAUGCUUUAAAGCACAGACCAAUUUUGUGUUAUUUAGCAUAGCCCUGAUUUUUCGUCUCCUUGUUACAAUGUCUUCUUAAGUCUAAUUGUUUUUUUUUUGUUUUUUUUAAACAUUGUUUAUUAUACAUAUUGUGAUUGCCUCAUUCCAAUGUGCCAACAGUUGUGGAUGAAGAAACAUAUGUGCACAGCAUAUUUCUGUGCUAUGCUUUGAUAACAGUGCCUGGUCCUUUAUAUAAUAGUUAGCUGGCUUAUGGUAAGUGAACAAUUGAUAUCAAUCCUUAUGUAUUUAGAUAAUGUUGAGUAUCAUGGCCACUGCUUUGUUUUUACAUGAGCUCUGGAAAAAUAAUUCUGAUGCUGCAGAUCUUGCUAUGGACCAAAAUGUAACAUUAUGAUAAUGUAGUUAAUCCUAUGACUGUCAUGUGACAUUUGACGUCUGGUGCUUAUUUUGUUGCACACUAUGACAAUAUUUGUAAACUGCUUUUAAAGUUUUUUUUUUUUUUUUUUUUUUCUCUAAUAAAAGGUGUAGGAAUACCACAUGGAAUCCAUCUAUUUAGAUUCAUAAAACAAGAACUCUUUUCAUUUGCUGUUGUGGAGGGUUAGUUGCAUAUUAUCUUGAAGGAAAGCACAAGGGUGAUGAAGAUCCCCUGACUUUUGAUAUGGCUCCCCACCGACUGCUUGGUUUUCUUGUCCUUUAUUGCCUUUCAUGACCUUUUCAUGAGUUUAUAUAUAUAUAUAUAUGUUUCACAUACUUGAGUAAGCUAGAUUAUAAGCCUUUCUUCCCUAAAGACUUAAUUGUGCAGAAUUACUUUUGAUAUUUUAUGGAGACUUACAUAUUACAUUUGCUAUGUUUUAAAGGUAGUAAUUUGGAAAGCAACUCUACUCAUGUUAAAAUCAACUGUCUGAUGGUGAAAUUGUUAUGGCUCAUGAAGGAGUUAUAAAAACAGCUGUCAGCCAAGCAAGAGUAAAGCAAUUUUGAGACCUGAUCAACCAUUUUGUAUUUUUACCAUUAGUCCCUAGAACAUUUAAAGUCAAAAUGGACCUUUAAUGUCAAGAAUUACAAUUUAAUUAAAUUGGACACAUUUUAAUUUACCAUAAAACUGAUGACCGUAAUGAUUGAGAUUACGUUACACAUGAUCAAUCACCUUAAUUGUGCAUGUCAGUGUUUUUGCCAUUGCAGUAUGUUAAUGUAAUUGUUAUUCAGUGUAAUUACAGUCUUCAAUUUAUAACUUUUUAAUAAUUCAUUUAAUAGUAAAUGUUCAAUAACAGAAACGGAUCAAUAUAUAUACAUGUGUGUGUGUGUGUGUGUGUGUGUGUGUAUAUAUAUAUAUAUAUAUUUUACAAUAAAUUCUCCUUCCUGCCCAGUAGGUGGCAACAUAGACAAAGAAAUUAAAUCGCCAAACACAAAAGAAGAAAGUAAAAGUGGAGUUCAAUUGUAAAAAAUGACUUAUAUAUUUAUGUGUUUCUCACAUCAGUUUUGGGUGAACUAUUACUUUAAAUAUGAUCAAUGGCAAUAGUGAUACCUUAUCAACACCAUUAAUUAUGCUCUUCUCUGUUCAAGUGUGCCAAGUCCAUCGUCUUCUGUCUGUAGAUACGGUGUACAUACUGUCAGGUCUUGUGCAGGUGUAAUUCAUCUCUGUGAACACCAGACUGCAGCAUAACACAAGCCAUCUCACAAGACACUGACAAGGUCACUCCACAAGAAGGAAAACACACUGGAGCUGAUGCAAACAUGUCUGAUGGCGAUUGUCAGUGAGUCGAAAUAAUGUGGCCCAUGCUAGGGCACUGGAAGUAUUGGAAACAACAUGCUUACCUCCCCAGUGAUCAUGUUGACAGGUUAUCCAAAAUUAAUGGCACACUGAUGCAGAUGCCAGCCGCAAGAGCCUCAACCUAAACUGAUGUCAGACCACUGCUUACAAGCAUUUGUGCUCAUCUAGUUAGGAGUCUGCUGAGUUUACAUCAGUGCCUCCUUGGUGCCAGACUAGCAGUGUUUGGCACUCACCAUCAGCCAUUAUCCGAAACCCCACAGACCCACCAUGCACUACUGCACAAGUGGAGUGAUUGUACCAUCUGCUGAAAAUCCUGUUGCAGUCAGAAUCUUUUUGACCAGUCAUUGGCUCAAUCAGAGAAUGGAUUUCUACACAGUUAGAGCUGCAUUGUAGUGGAUGAUGAUUCAUUUUGGAAGUGAAAAAGAAGCUAGAGAGGCGCUAGAAAUUGGAUCACUAUAUGACCCUUUUAAAAUUCUUACCUAUUUCAGAGUAACACAACU